rnacentral:rRNA from 1 species
AUCAGUGGCCAUAGCAAAGGAGAUCACCUGAUACCAUUCCGAACUCAGUAGUUAAGCCCUUUAGCGCCGAAGAUACCAGAGAUGGGAAAAUAGGGAGCUGCUUUUU